rnacentral:rRNA from 1 species
AUUGAACGCUGGCGGCAGGCUUAACACAUGCAAGUCGAGCGAGCGGCGGACGGGUGAGUAAUGUCUGGGAAACUGCCUGAUGGAGGGGGAUAACUACUGGAAACGGUAGCUAAUACCGCAUACCAUCAGAUGUGCCCAGAUGUGAUUGGCUAUUAGGUGGGGUAAUGGCUCACCUAGGCGCCGAUCCCUAGCUGGUCUGAUAGGAUGACGAGCCACACUGGAAGUGAGACACGGUCCAGACUCCUACGGGAGGCAGAAGUGGGGAAUAUUGCACAAUGUGCGAAAGCCUGAUGCAGCAAUGCCGGGUGUGUGAAGAAGGCCUGCGGGUUGUAAAGCACUUUCAGCGAGGAGGCGGUACUCGCAGAAGAAGCACCGGCUAACUCCGUGCCAGCAGCCGCGGUAAUUC